rnacentral:rRNA from 1 species
ACGGGUGAGUAAUGUCUGGGAAACGUGCCUGAUGGAGGGGGGUAACUACUGGAAACGGUAGCUAAUACCGCAUAACGUCGCAAGACCAAAGAGGGGGACCGUUCGGGCCUCUUGCCAUCGGAUGUGCCCAGAUGGGAUUAGCUAGUAGGUGGGGUAACGGCUCACCUAGGCGACGAUCCCUAGCUGGUCUGAGAGGAUGACCAGCCACACUGGAACUGAGACACGGUCCAG